GUAGGUGAACCUGCGGAAGGAUCAUUAUUGAAUGAACUUGACUUGGUUGCUGCUGGUCUUUUCGAAGGCAUGUGCACACCUUGUCAUCUUUAUAUCUCCACCUGUGCACCUUUUGUAGACCUGGAUUCAACAUUCCGAGGCAACUCGGUCGUGAGGAAUUGCUUCACAGCUUUCCUUGUAAGUUUCCAGGCCUAUGUUUUUCAUAUACACCAUAAGAAUGUAACAGAAUGUCAUUAUUAGACUUCAUUGUCUUAUAAACUAUAUACAACUUUCAGCAACGGAUCUCUUGGCUCUC
rnacentral:misc_RNA from 1 species